CUGACGAGUGGCGGACGGGUGAGUAAUGUCUGGGAAACUGCCUGAUGGAGGGGGAUAACUACUGGAAACGGUAGCUAAUACCGCAUAACGUCGCAAGACCAAAGAGGGGGACCUUCGGGCCUCUUGCCAUCAGAUGUGCCCAGAUGGGAUUAGCUAGUAGGUGGGGUAACGGCUCACCUAGGCGACGAUCCCUAGCUGGUCUGAGAGGAUGACCAGCCACACUGGAACUGAGACACGGUCCAGACUCCUACGGGAGGCAGCAGUGGGGAAUAUUGCACAAUGGGCGCAAGCCUGAUGCAGCCAUGCCGCGUGUAUGAAGAAGGCCUUCGGGUUGUAAAGUACUUUCAGCGGGGAGGAAGGCGAUGUGGUUAAUAACCGCGUCGAUUGACGUUACCCGCAGAAGAAGCACCGGCUAACUCCGUGCCAGCAGCCGCGGUAAUACGGAGGGUGCAAGCGUUAAUCGGAAUUACUGGGCGUAAAGCGCACGCAGGCGGUCUGUCAAGUCGGAUGUGAAAUCCCCGGGCUCAACCUGGGAACUGCAUCCGAAACUGGCAGGCUUGAGUCUCGUAGAGGGGGGUAGAAUUCCAGGUGUAACCGUGAAAUGCAUA
rnacentral:rRNA from 1 species